rnacentral:lncRNA from 1 species
AGUGGCAUGUUCUCUGGCACAGGCAGGUCACAGAGCAGGUGGGAAAGGCUGCCUUGUGAAUGUAGGAACUCAGGAAGAUGCCCAGGCACUAAGCCUUCUCCUUCCCAACACAGAGAGAGUCCACAAGAGAAGGUGGAGACCAUACCCACAGCUGAUCACCUCUCGGCAAAGCAAUUCUUUCACUUAGGCCCUCCCUAUCCAGGCAUGUCACUACAGAGAGAUGAGGCUGGCCAUGCCCAGGGUCAGGCUCCUGCUGCCCACCCACCCCCAGGCUCUCCUCCAUCCUUCAAUGAGUGCAUGUGAUGCUGGCCCUCCUGCAGAGCCCCCACUCAUGCAUGGGAGGUGACUACACUUCAUUCAGCCCAUUGAUGCUGCUUGGGGGUGCAGGGCUUGGUUUGUGUUCAGGAAAAGUAGAGGGAACCUUCCCAGAACUCGCAGAUCUGCUCUUGUGAAGAAACGCCAUGGUCCCACUUGCCCUGGACAGCCAUUAGCCCAGAGGCUGUGUAUUGACUGACUUCAGAAUCUCAGGACCCAGGGAGAAGAUGGCCAUCUAUGAACUAAAAAGUGGUCCUGAACUAAUGGGGGAUGCUGUUAGCAUCCCCAUCUUGAACCUGCAACUUCUAGAACUCUAAGGAACAUUUUUGCCUGCCGGCCUGUGGCAUGCUAAGGUCCAGGUUUUUAUUCGUGGAAAGAACACUGAGGGACAUGGCUGAGGAGCUGAGGACGGGCUUCAUCACUGAACUAGUCUGGAAUUCCUCCAAUAUCGAUGUCCUCCCUGGGGACAGAGAGAACAUGGGUCUGUAGACGGUCAUGCUUACACAGCGCUGUGUGAAGGUGACCACGAAUGUGGUGGUGGCAGAGACCCUAAGAGAAUGCUUCAGUAUCUGUUGUGUAAACAACAGCUCUGUUCUUGAAGGCUCUUGUGGCAAUGUGGUUUUCCUGAUCUCAGCCGAAACAACACCUCAAUUACUUCCAGGCCUCUCAUUUUCCUGCUCUUCCCAUUUUGGAAUUUUGGAGGAAGAAAAUAAACAAACAAAACAUCAUGACCUUGAUUCCAGCAUGAGACUUUGACAGCCAUGAGAGCUCAUGGAAGAAGCUGAAUUGCUUCCUCCCACAAGCUGGACUCCAGACUGACCAGCUUGGCCAGGGCUGUGUGAAGUACAGCGAAGAGACCAGUGGAGCUGGGCUACAGGUCCCCAGAAAUACAGGUAGCAGACUGCUGCCCCAGUGAGAGUGGACCAUUUAAUGCGCAUGCCCGUGCACUAAAAACUAGUGCACCCCUGUGAUUUCCAGGCAGAAGAACCUCCAAGGUUAAGCGCAACCCCCAAGUCUGCGGGGGAUUCCUUCCCAGCACUGUGCCUUCAACACCGCUUCAAAAAACCUUUAAAAAAAAUAUAUAUGCUAUUGUUUGCAAAAAAAUUAAGAAUAAA